UACGUAGGGUGCAAGCGUUAAUCGGAAUUACUGGGCGUAAAGCGUGCGCAGGCGGUUUUGUAAGUCUGUCGUGAAAGCCCCGGGCUCAACCUGGGAAUGGCGAUGGAUACUGGCUCGCUAGAGUGCGGUAGAGGAGAGUGGAAUUCCCGGUGUAGCAGUGAAAUGCGUAGAGAUCGGGAGGAACAUCAGUUGCGAAGGCGGCUCUCUGGACCAGCACUGACACUGAGGCACGAAAGCGUGGGGAGCAAACAGG
rnacentral:rRNA from 1 species